rnacentral:rRNA from 1 species
CUACCCGGGUUUCUAAUCCUGUUCGCUACCCACGCUUUCGUCCAUCAGCGUCAGUUGUAACUUAGUAACCUGCCUUCGCAAUUGGUGUUCUGAGUAAUAUCUAUGCAUUUCACCGCUACACUACUCAUUCCAGCUACUUCAACUACACUCAAGACUGACAGUAUCAACGGCAGUUUCAUAGUUAAGCUAUGAGAUUUCACCGCUGACUUACCAGUCCGCCUACGGACCCUUUAAACCCAAUAAAUCCGGAUAACGCUUGCACCCUCCGUAUUACCGCGGCUGCUGGCAC